rnacentral:lncRNA from 1 species
CACUUUGGUACAAUGCUCAUGGCCUUUUUAGUUUCACUGAGGUAUAUGUUAGUUUGGUGUGGAUGAAAUAAGGUAGGACCAUCAGAUGCUAAUAUUUGGUCCGUUAAAUAACCUUUUAGUGGUUCUAUAAAUUAUAACAUAAUUACUACAGACGUUAGACAUGUAUAUUAGAUAGAUAAUAAUUACAAUAUCCUAGAGUUUUCAUGAAACAAAAUUUCAAGCAUGUUAGAGCUAAAUACUGUUAAUCUGGAAAAUGUGAUUUUCCUACUCAUAAUAGUUAUGUCACGUGAUUAUGUUGGAGGAAUGGUC